rnacentral:rRNA from 1 species
GAUGAACGCUGGCGGCGUGCCUAAUACAUGCAAGUCGAGCGAACAGACGAGGAGCUUGCUCCUCUGACGUUAGCGGCGGACGGGUGAGUAACACGUGGAUAACCUACCUAUAAGACUGGGAUAACUUCGGGAAACCGGAGCUAAUACCGGAUAAUAUUUUGAACCGCAUGGUUCAAUAGUGAAAGACGGUUUUGCUGUCACUUAUAGAUGGAUCCGCGCCGCAUUAGCUAGUUGGUAAGGUAACGGCUUACCAAGGCAACGAUGCGUAGCCGACCUGAGAGGGUGAUCGGCCACACUAGAACUUAGACACGGUCCAGACUCCUAAGGGAGGCAGCAGUAGGGAAUCUUCCGCAAUGGGCGAAAGCCUUACGGAGCAACGCCGCGUGAGUUAUGAAGGUCUUCGGAUCGUAAAACUCUGUUAUUAGGGAAGAACAAAUGUGGAAGUAACUGUGCACGUCUUGACGGUACCUAAUCAGAAAGCCACGGCUAACUACGUG